AGCGAACGCUGGCGGCAGGCCUAACACAUGCAAGUCGAACGAAGUCUUCGGACUUAGUGGCGGACGGGUGAGUAACACGUGGGAACGUGCCUUUAGGUUCGGAAUAACUCAGGGAAACUUGCGCUAAUACCGAAUGUGCCCUUCGGGGGAAAGAUUUAUCGCCUUUAGAGCGGCCCGCGUCUGAUUAGCUAGUUGGUGAGGUAAAGGCUCACCAAGGCUACGAUCAGUAGCUGGUCUGAGAGGAUGACCAGCCACAUUGGGACUGAGACACGGCCCAAACUCCUACGGGAGGCAGCAGUGGGGAAUCUUGCGCAAUGGGCGAAAGCCUGACGCAGCCAUGCCGCGUGGAUGAUGAAGGUCUUAGGAUUGUAAAUUCCUUUCACCGGUGAAGAUAAUGACUGUAGCCGGAGAAGAAGCCCCGGCUAACUUCGUGCCAGCCGCCGCGGUAACAC
rnacentral:rRNA from 1 species